rnacentral:rRNA from 1 species
UACGUAGGGUGCGAGCGUUGUCCGGAAUUAUUGGGCGUAAAGAGCUCGUAGGCGGUGUGUCACGUCGGCCGUGAAAACCUGCAGCUUAACUGUGGGCGUGCGGUCGAUACGGGCAUCACUGGAGUUCGGCAGGGGAGACUGGAAUUCCUAGGUGGUAGCGGUGAAAUGCGCAGAUAUCGGGAGGAACACCGGUGGCGAAGGCGGUUCUCUGGGCCUUACCUGGACGCUGAGGAGCGAAAGCGUGGGGAGCGAACAGG